UACAGAGACUGCAAGCGUUAUUCGGAUUCACUGGGCGUAAAGGGUGCGCAGGCGGUUGGGUGUGUCAGAUGUGAAAUCCCGAGGCUUAACCUCGGAACUGCGUCUGAAACUACUCGACUAGAGUACUGGAGAGGGAAACGGAAUUCACGGAGUAGAGGUGAAAUUCGUAGAUAUCAGGAGGAAGACCAGUGGCGAAGGCGGAUCUCUGGACAGCUACUGACACUGAGGCACGAAGGCCAGGGGAGCAAACGGG
rnacentral:rRNA from 1 species